rnacentral:lncRNA from 1 species
AUGUCACUGAAUGGCACUGACUCGAUUGGGAAGGGGAAAUUCAAUAGUCUGAUGUCACUGAAUGACACUGACUCGAUUGGGAAGGGGAAAUUCAAUAGUCCGAUGUCACUGAAUGACACUGACUCGAUUGGGAAGGGGAAAUUCAACAGUCUGAUGUCACUGAAUGGCACUGACUCGAUUGGGAAGGGGAAAUUCAAUAGUCCAAUGUCACUGAAUGACACUGACUCGAUUGGGAAGGGGAAAUUCAAUAGUCCGAUGUCACUGAAUCACACUGACUCGAUUGGGAAGGUGAAAUUCAAUAGUCCGAUGUCACUGAAUGGCACUGACUCGAUUGGGAAGGGGAAAUUCAAUAGUCAGAUGUCACUGAAUGGCACUGACUCGAUUGGGAAGGGGAAAUUCAAUAGUCCGAUGUCACUGAAUGACACUGACUCGAUUGGGAAGGGGAAAUUCAAUAGUCCGAUGUCACUGAAUGACACUGACUCGAUUGGGAAGGGGAAAUUCAAUAGUCUGAUGUCACUGAAUGGCACUGACUCGAUUGGGAAGGGGAAAUUCAAUAGUCCGAUGUCACUGAAUGGCACUGACUCGAUUGGGAAGGGGAAAUUCAAUAGUCCGAUGUCACUGAAUGGCACUGACUCGAUUGGGAAGGGGAAAUUCAAUAGUCCGAUGUCACUGAAUGACACUGACUCGAUUGGGAAGGGGAAAUUCAAUAGUCCGAUGUCACUGAAUGGCACUGACUCGAUUGGGAAGGGGAAAUUCAAUAGUCAGAUGUCACUGAAUGGCACUGACUCGAUUGGGAAGGGGAAAUUCAAUAGUCCGAUGUCACUGAAUGACACUGACUCGAUUGGGAAGGGGAAAUUCAAUAGUCCGAUGUCACUGAAUGACACUGACUCGAUUGGGAAGGGGAAAUUCAAUAGUCUGAUGUCACUGAAUGGCACUGACUCGAUUGGGAAGGGGAAAUUCAAUAGUCCGAUGUCACUGAAUGGCACUGACUCGAUUGGGAAGGGGAAAUUCAAUAGUCCGAUGUCACUGAAUGGCACUGACUCGAUUGGGAAGGGGAAAUGCAAUAGUCUGAUGUCACUGAAUGGCACUGACUUGAUUGGGAAGGGGAAAUUCAAUAGUCUGAUGUCACUGAAUGGCACUGACUCGAUUGGGAAGGGGAAAUUCAAUAGUCCGAUGUCACUGAAUGGCACGGACUCGAUUGGGAAGGGGAAAUUCAAUAGUCCGAUGUCACUGAAUGGCACUGACUCGAUUGGGAAGGGGAAAUUCAAUAGUCCGAUGUCACUGAAUUGCACUGACUCGAUUGGGAAGGGGAAAUUCAAUAGUCCGAUGUCACUGAAUGGCACUGACUCGAUUGGGAAAUUCAAUAGUUAUUCUGUCAAAUCAACUGACUGA